rnacentral:rRNA from 1 species
AUUGAACGCUGGCGGCAUGCUUUACACAUGCAAGUCGAACGGCAGCGCGGGCUUCGGCCUGGCGGCGAGUGGCGAACGGGUGAGUAAUACAUCGGAACGUGCCCAGUAGUGGGGGAUGGCUCGGCGAAAGCCGGAUUAAUACUGCAUAAGACCUGCGGGUGAAAGCGGGGGAUCUUCGGACCUCGCGCUCUUGGAGCGGUCGAUGGCCGAUUAGCUAGCUGGUGGGGUAAAGGCCUACCAAGGCGACGAUCUGUAGCUGGUCUGAGAGGACGACCAGCCACACUGGGACUGAGACACGGCCCAGACUCCUACGGGAGGCAGCAGUGGGGAAUGUUGGACAAUGGGCGAAAGCCUGAUCCAGCAAUGCCGCGUGUGUGAUGAAGGCCUUCGGGUUGUAAAGCACUUUUGGCGGGAACGAAAAGGACUGUGCCAAUACCACGGUUCGAUGACGGUACCCGCAGAAUAAGCACCGGCUAACUACGUG